rnacentral:rRNA from 1 species
GAGCACGUAGGUGGGUUUGUAAGUCAGGUGUGAAAGCCUUCUGUUCAAAGGAAGAACGGCAUCUGAAACUGCAGAUCUUGAGUGUAGGAGGGGAGAGUGGAACUUCUGGUGGAGCGGUGAAAUGCGUAGAUAUCAGAAGGAACGUCGGCGGCGAAAGCGACUCUCUGGCCUAUUACUGACACUGAGGUGCGAAAGUUAGGGGAGCAAACGGGAUUAGAUACCCCGGUAGUCCUAACCGUAAACGAUGGGCACUAAGUAGAGGGGUUUU